GGCGCGGGCCUUGCUAAAUACCCAGCAUGGAGCGGUCAACGCCGAUCGCCCCCUUUCACGACAAAGGCGCCGU
rnacentral:ncRNA from 1 species